rnacentral:lncRNA from 1 species
GUGUUUAGCAAUCCCUCCUAAUCCCCGGCCUAGAACGAUCCCUACUUACAUACUUUACUACAUUUGAUAAAAAUAGGGUUUAAUUUGUGUGCUUAUAUAUUUCGCAUCAUAGGACGCAACAUGAAGAAGAAAGCGGAUGGAUGCGACGCAAAGAAGAAAACAGAGAGUCACCGAAUAAGAACGCAACAGCCAGGGUCUUAGCAGUCCCAUGGUAUUUGGGGGGGGUCUCGCUAAGACCCUUUAGUGAGAGAGUUAGUGAACGCGAGUCCCCUUCAAUCUCAUUCAACUUAGUCCCACUAUGUAACAAACACCGGAUUAGACUGACAAGUAGUCCAGUUUAAUCCAAUGAAGGCUAGUGAAGCCUAACAAACGCACCGUAAAACUCUUAGUUGUGUUUCACUUUGUCCCGUGUAGUCCAAAUUCGUUAGCAAAUCUGCUAAAACUACUGACGUGGUUUAGACAUUGAGUGCUAACGUGGUUUAAACAUUGAGUUUCAAGGUAAAUCUCUCUUUGGCUCGUCAAAUAUCAAUCUUUGUGUAUAUAAACGAGGAUCUAGCAAAUACACACACACACACACACAAAAAGGAAUUUUUCUUCAUGUGGUUGGAAAUACAAUCGCAUCUUUGCUCACCACUAUAAACUAUGGUGUAUGCUCAUCAUACACCUAAUCAAUUGACACGUGUCAUUUCACUUAAUCUUGGUUAAUUUUUUUCAAAAUUGAAAAUCUAACAUUUAAUGUGAAAGUUAACUAGAAUUAAGUGAAAUGACACGUGUCAAUUGAUUAUGUGUAUGAUGAGCAUACAUCAUAAUUUAUGGUAGUGAGCAAAAAUGUUUCCCUACAUUAUAGCCCAUUUGAUGCAUUUCAUCGAGCGUAUUUUCUACUUUCUUAAUUGAGGUAAAGCUCACCACGUACGUUUUAUCGCUAUUAAAGGAUGAUAAGAUGUGUAGGAUAAUGUGGUGCGUAUACAAAUAUGAAAGGAGGAAGGAAGCCUUGGAGUCGCUACCUUUAUAAUCCCUGCAUUCAAUUAAUUUCCACGUCCCUAUUUGUCAGUCAGAUCCCUAGACCAAGUAUCAAUAAGUGAUGGUUCCUCUAUGGGCAAUUUUGUCUUCAUUAUAUUGUUUUCAAUCACACAUUUUAACUACAAGCGAUAUUCUAGAUUAACCUACACUAAAUAAAAUGGGGAAUAUUUGAGCCUGAAACAUUAGAGUAAUGCGCUAACCACUAGAGUAAUCCAUCACUUAUCAUUCAAUCUCACAUUGGAAGAAUAAAAAAAACAGGAAAUUUUAUUUAAACUCAUCUAACCUAUUUUUACACCCAACUUACUCUUUACACCAUUUGAUUUUUAGCUAAACUAUUAAUAUCUCUUUAAACCCAAAUUUGAUACCUAAUAUAUCCCCAUAAACCCAAUUCAAUAUGUGAAUUUAUUUUUACACCCAUUUGAUUUUUAGAAGCUAAAUUUGAUGUGUUUAGACCUAAGUUCUUUGCAUGGUUUUCCACAACACAAAAGCUGAUAAUUCAAUUGUUGAAAGAUGUCAAGAAAGGCAAUGAAAGGAUUGUUAGCCUUAUAAGGUUAUACAAUUAAAACACAAUCGAAUGAGUGACAGACCUAAUUCCAACGGCGGCCAUGGAAGUCAAACACGAAAACAAACAGGGCACGGCAACACCAAGAUCUUCUAUAAACUCCUAGCCGAAUACAACUACUCUAUGGGAAGCAUUAUGUUGUGUGUUCUAGGGCUUAUAGGGACCGGUGUUUUUAUAUAGGCUAAAAGCUAGGGUUUCCAUCCAUAAAAGAAACCUAAACUUACUUUAUUAGCCUCCAAGUCAAGUAUCAUAAUCAUAUUCAAUUAAGGAUUCCAUCAAUCAUAUUUCCAAUAUAAGACACCUUAUAUAGGAUUGAUAUCUUUAAGAGAUCAAAUCACAAUUAACAUUGUUCUCCAAUAUUACAUUCCUAUUACAUGUAGUAGACCACUUAAAGGUUGAUUUAUAUUGGAUAAAUCCAACAUUCUCCCACUUGAUCUACAAAAUGUAAUAUUCACUUUUAUACUUGAGAUUGGAGACUAAUGUCACUUUAGUGGCCAUGUAACAGUGAUUACAUCUCGUCCUAAAUGCAAUUUCUGUCAAAUGCAUUUCUUAACAUGGAACUAACAAGGUUGUAGGGUUGACACAACCCAGAACCUUCAUAAUCACACAUCCUAAGAUCCUCAUUCACAUGAAACACAAAUUAUGAUCAAGAGAUGAAACUUUAAAUUAACCAAAAUGUCUUACUUUAUAUCAUCUCAGGUCCACCUUAUUGUAACUCACAAGUUACACUUUAUGCUUUUUCGAAGCCUUAAAUCUGCCAAUGCAGAUAUCCUUCAUCUAAUGAAGCCAACAUAACCUGCAGGUGUGAAUACAUCUCCAAAACAAUCAUGCAUCACUUUCAUUAGAUCAGUAAUAAUACAAACAAUGUUUGUAACCAACGGACACAACUGAAAAUACCAAAUAGGCACAUGUCCAAGUAAAAUAUUCCAAAAACUUCAUAAAACAAAUUAAUUCAACACUUGUGAGCAAGAUGAAUUAAUAUGUUUUUGACACUGAUCUAUGCACCAUACCAGUUACUUUCAUAGUGAUUUCCAACACCUACGGGCAAGAUGGAAAUCCUCACAACUGAGGUAGUGCAUAAACCAUGUCAUGCCAUUUAAUAUGCAAUUUGAUAACAACUUGAUAUCUGAUAUAUAUUUCAUCAAAUAAUUGACUAGCACACGAAAAAUGUGACUUAAUGAAUCCAACUAGAGAUUAAAAUGAAUACAUGGAUUCUAUACAUACCUUAUAGGUCAUCUGCAAAUGUAAGGCAUUACUAACACGAAACUUAAACCCCUACUGAUCUGCAACAUCAUCACUUAAUUUGGAAAUCAAUACUUUAAUCAUAUUUUUGAAAAUAUGCCUUUGGGAAUAGCUUACUUAGUCAAUGAAUGCAUAUCACCUCAAUGAAAGGUAAAAUUAAGCACGAAAGCAUUCAUCACUGUUACACAAAAACAUGCAUCCAACAACCAUCUUCUAUGUAUUAAUAAGUCCACAUUUAUGCUAAGUCCUUAUGAGCCUCAAAACGAAUGAUCAACCAAGAAAUCCAAAUGAUUGCAAGUAACAGAAAAAUGUAUGCAUAUACUAAGUAGCCAUUCAUACAACUUAAACAUAUUAUUAUUAUUCGAGAAACACAAAUUCAUGGAAGAUAGAAUAACACUUUAAUAAAUUCAUGCAAAUCCGCUUAAUGCUCAAAAACUCCCACUAAGUUUUCAGAGUUUAUACUUGCAAAUAAGUUAAUGAGUGUGAAGUGAUAGGAGCAUAUUUAUGCAACUUAGUUAGCUUGUUUCUUGGCAUUUACUUAGUUUAAUUCUAGUUAUUUUAGUACUUUAAGCUAUUUUCGUAUGUUUGUAGGUUCAAAUAACAAAGUUAGCAACAAAGUGCUAUUUGGAGCAUUUUGGAGCAUUUUUGGGCCAAGUUUGGAUAGUGCAAGCAUGGAAACAUGAGGAUAGACGUUUUUGAAGAUUUGAAGGCUAGAAAUCAACAUGUGUGUGUGUGCAAGUGUGUUGACCUACAACUACAAACAUCCAUCCACUACACCCAUUACAUCCACUCAUUACCAAACAUCCAUCCACUACACCCAUUACAUCCACUCAUUACCAAACACUCACCCACUACACACAUGACAUCCACUCAUUACCACAACACUCACCCACUACACCCAUUACAUCCACUCAUUACCAAAAAUCCAUCCACUACACCCAUUACAUCCACUCUUAUUAAACACUUACCCACUACACCCAUUACAUCCACUCAUUACCACAACAUACACCACCACCACCUUAAUUAGAUGGUGGUCCUCUCCCUAACCUAUAAAUAUAUCCACCAUUCACCAUAACAAGGGGGGAGAUCCAUCCAAAGACACAUUCAUACGGACAGUUUAUGGAGAAAGGAGAAAGACACAUUCUGCCGCAAGGCAGAGUCUUUUCUUCUUAACCAUUCUACACAUUCCCACAACAAAGACACAAUUCCAUGCACCUUCAUUUCCCUUUCAUUGCCGUGACCUCCAUCCAACCUAAACACAUUCAGCCAUUCCCUUCCAUGUAACCAUACGCAUCCAUCAAACCACACCUUGUGCCGCAACAAAGAGAAGAAUGAGGACCCUUGGACGUGUUUGCCAUUCAAGUUGGAUUGUUGGAGCGUUUUUAGGUGUUUUCAUUCUUUUCUUUUCAAUGUCUAAAUUUGUUUAUCUUUGCUUUAUGAGUAUAAGGAAAUAACCCCCCCUUAGCUAGGGGGAAUUCGAAAUCAUGUUCAUGCUUGCAAUAUGAUUUGAUUACUUUCAGUUGUGAUUCAUAAGUUGUGAAUUUCAAUUUACUUAUCCAUUUGAAUUUAAAACUGAUUUGUGUAUGUUUGGUUAAGAGUGCACACUUAAUUUUCAUGCAUGAAUAUGAUGCUAGGAUAUAAGGGAGUUUCACCUAAUCGUUACAAACUUAUAUUCACAAGUAGUGAAGGUUGCUCGUCACAACCAUGUUAAGUAAAUUCUUGGCAUAAGUUUCAUGCAAUUCAUAGUUACAAGUGUUUCGUCAAUGCUUAUGAUUUUCAUAGAACUUAAUGAUUCUUGCUUGUAUCUCUAUUAUGCAAUUCAUGUAGGGAACUUUGUGGGGAAUGCUUUGGGUUGUUGUAUGCAAUCAUCCAAUUCAAUGAAAUUAGGAAAAUUUGAGGGUUAAUUAGUGCAUGCAAUUCACAGUUAAUCUAGGGCGUUGAGAAUUCGUAGUUUAUUGAAAAGCAACUGGAAAUCGUUUUGUUUGCAAGUGUGUCAUGUGUGGAGAAGAACCUCCUAGCUAGCCUUCCAUGCAUUCAAUUUACUCAAAUUCGUGCAGAUUUCAUUAGUUCUUUAAUUUACUUGUUUUGUUUUCAAAUUCAUCAAAUCCAAAACCCCCUUUACCUUGUUGAGUUAUAUUAGUUAGAAACUGAUUUAGUUUGUGUUUUUAAGUAUUUCGAACCAAGUUGAAACCAAAAUUCGUCCAAAAGUGUGUUUAGAGUCCAAAUCUGCCCAGUUUGUGUUUUUAGGCAGAUUUGAGCUUUUUAAGCUUGUUUUGAGUUUUUUGAAUUUGUUUUGAAUUCUUUGAGUCUAGUUUAGUGUUUUUAACUUUGUUUAUAUGUUUUUAAGUCAGUUUAGAGGUUAUUAGCAAGCCCUACUUACAUUUUUUACUACAAUUGAUACAAGAGGGUUUAAUUUGUGUGUUAAGUUAAUUUUCGCAUCAAAUUUUUGGCGCCGUUGCCGGGGAUUAGCAACUUUGCUAAUCCCUUGUUAUUUCUUUUUGUAUAUUUUUGUGUCUUUUGUUUUUAGUUACUGACUUUGUUUCUGUUUGUGUUUUUUUUUUUUUUUUUUACUUUUGAUAUUUGAUUUAGUUUUGUUUCCUUGAUUUCAGGUACUAGAGAAGUAAGACAUGGAUUUUGCUACCAUUCAAGCUCAAUUGGCGAAACUUACUUCUCAAUUGUCACAAUAUGCCAAAAGGACCACAAUGCAAAGUGUCCCUAUAUAUGGUGUGUCCUAUGGGCAAGGAUAUCCAUCUCAUCAAUGUUCUCAAUUCGCUGCGAAUGAAGAUGCUUGGGGUUAUCAAGGUCAUAGCCAAUCAUGGGACAACAUGUCUUCCAACGCUUACAAUUCGGAUUGGAGAGAUUAUUCAGAUUACAUGUGGGGAGAACCUCAACAAUUCCAACAAGAUGGAUAUUGGCAGCAAGAAGAGGAGUUCUAUUCAAAACCUAUGCAGCCACCAUAACCUCCUCCACAACAAUUCAAAUCAAGUUCAAGUAUGCCUAUGAGUUAUGAUGAAAUUCUUGAUGUACUAACCUCUUUGACGCAGGGCUCACAACAAGAAGAAUAUUUGCCGUCAUCGAAUGAGUUAUAUCACUGGCCAUAUGAACCAUCACAGCCACCACAACAAUCUGCCCAAUUCAAUUCAGGUACGUCUUUGAAUAAUGAUAUGUUUAAUAAGUUACUCAUCUCUUUGAACCAGGAAGUAGAAAAUCGAAACAAAGAGAUGCAAAAUCAAGCCAAGAAGACGGGUGAAUUGGAGAAGCAAAUUGGGCAGAUUAUGGAGUUCAUGGCACAAAUUCAAGAGCAAAGUGAACUCUCCAACUCAACUAUUGAAAAUUUGAAGGAAGAUUUUGAAAUCCAUGAUGCUAUCACUUCGGGAAGUGCUAUGGAGGUUGGAGGUGAACCCAAGACAUCCAAACCAAGCCAAAACAUGGAUGAACAGCUGCUGCUUGAAGAAGAAGAGAAUAACAAGGCUAUGGCAAGGGAAGAACCACCCUUGUCGCAACCCCAUAUGCCCUCUAUGUCGUCCACUACAACCAAGGUAAGCCUAAAUUCAAUUUGUCCUGACCCCAUUUCACUAAAUGUCCUUAUUCCUUGUAGGAUCAUGCAAUCCAAGGAAGAAGAGGGUGAGAAAGGCAUCUUCGAAACCUUUCCAAAGAAUCAAGAGCAAGAAGUGGAUGGGGAAUGUCUAGAAUUCAUCAAAGAAGAUACAUUUGAGACGAAAAUUCCCAAAGAAGUUGGAUUUUAUGACACGGGAAAAGUCAUAACUCUCAAAACACCAAAUCUAGCCAAGUCCCAUAUCCCUACAACCUUCAAAGAUGUGGUGUUCAUAAUUGAGUUUCUGUUGGAGCAAGCAAGUAAGCUAUCUUCUCCAACUUCGAUUUUAUUAUAUACUAACUUGCUGAUUUUGAUGAUUCAGGCACCUACACUAGAAUUUAAACCAUUGCCGUAUCACGUCAAGUAUCACCUUCCAUUCAAAGAUCAAUUCCAUGCUAUGGGCCCUAUCCAAGUUUAGAAGGAAGUUUCGUCUGGCUGGAAGACGUUAAAGCAAGCGCUUCUUAGGAGGUAACCCAUGUAUUCAAAUGAGGAAGAUUUUUGAAUCGCUCCACAAUCAAUUUUGCGUUUCUAAAAACCUUCCAUUUUCUGCAGUUUUUUUUUGCCAUGAUUGUCAUUUUUAUUUGUUGCUUGUUUAAUUGUUUUUGGUGUGGGUUUAUUUUUGAAACAUUGACAGAUAUGCAAGGUAUUUUUACAUUCAUUUUAACGAAAAAAAAAGAACAUUAAGCAGAAAAUACAAGAGGAAGCCUUCACAGAGGCUGCUUAGGAGAAGUCUAAGUAGUCGGUGGAGCCUCAGCAGUCGGCGGAGCCCCAGAAGGAUGAGGCAUCAGAGGUUGAUCAUUUGGAGCUUCAUUACGUGGUACAACCCCAGAAGACGAAGGCAAAUGUUGUUUGAACAAACCCACAAACCUCUGAUGAUCAAGUAAAAUCUGACCAUCAGAUUCCUGCAUCUGGUCAAUCUUCCUCUUUAUGUUUGUAGCAUAGUUAUGUGCGAGCCUGUGCAACUGUUUAUUCUCAUGCUUGAGCCCUCUAAUCUCCUGUUUGAGACUCAUCACUUCAGCCGCCAAUGAUUCAACUUGACGGGUUCGAGCAAAUAGGCGUUGGGCCAUAUUAGACACAGAACCUGCACACUGCACACUGAGAGCCAGAGAAUCCUUAACAGCCAACUCAUCAGACCGUUUGGAAAGUAGUCUGUUAUCUUUGGGAGUGACAAGGUUCCAGGGCCACCACCGCAGCUGUCAUAUCAUUCUUCAUCACCGAAUCCCCAACGGUAAGAGGACCAGUAGGGGAUAUGAAGGAUGAGCGCCAUAUGUUGUCUGGAGAAGGCAUGGCUGCCUCUUCACCAAGGUUCAAGUCAAAACGACGGUCGGAGGGGCCAGACAUUUUCAAAGGUGUUAAAGAAAGAAGAGGUCGGACAAGUCAAGAUCGUAGAAGUGCAAAAAUGGAGUUUCUACAGGCAGAAAUUCAAGUGUGCUUUAAAACGUACUGUGCGCCUCUAUAAAAACCAGCACUCGACGGGAUUUCAGAGAUCGAAAAGGCGAGCUCAGAAAUCGAAGAGGCCAAUUCAAAAAUUGAAGAGGCGCUAGCUUUCUCAAAAGCUGGGCUUGCUCAGAAACCAUGAGCCAAUCUUCUUUUCCAGAUUUGUCCGCACUUGUCACAUGCAACCUCUACACUCAACGGAGCUCAGAACUCGAAGAGGCAAGCUAAAAAAUCGGAGAGGCAUCUGCUUUUCCAGACGUGUCAGCAUCUGUCACAUGCACACUCAGCUUUGCAGAAAUCACGAGCAGUUUGUCGAAACGCCAAUUCUAGAUAUCAAAGAGGCACUUGCUUUUCCAAACGUGUCAGCGCCUAUCACAUGCACACUCAGCCUUGCGGAAAUUACGGGCAAUCUGUCGAAGAUUUCUUGUGAAGUAGAAAGGCACGUGAAGUUUACUAUUAAAUCAUCCAACGGUUGCCGACAAGAGUGAAAGAAUAGUACCGGUUAUUAAUUCCUAUAAAUGUCAACCUUCACCCUCCAUUGCAAGGCAGACAUACAUAACCCUUCUUCAUCUCCGAGAAUGCCUUUCCAACAAACCCUCUCGAGUCACUCAGUGUUCCUUAUUCCUUGGGGUACCUCUGCAAACAACUCAUCCAAAGCAAAAGUAUUUCAUAUCAUGAAGGUUGAAAGCAAGAGUAUCUCAUAUCAUGCUUUCUCUCUGUCCUUCUCCUUGUCGUUGUUUUUUUGCGGGACAAGGAGAAAGAGAGCAAUCAGCCAGCACUUGGUAUCAAUCUUCCGAUUUAGAACCGACUGCCUGGAACCCCUUCCUGAUUACUUACCUAGCCUUGCUCUCGAGUACUCAUCUUCAACAUCUUAUGCUUCCUCUUCGUCUACCACAUCUGCCUGGGGAACAGAUAAGGGAAGUGAAAAUGAUACCUCGAAGCAUGUGGAGACAAUUGUGCCUAAUUCAUCCUCAGCUAGGGACAAGGAGAAAGAAAGCAAAUGGUGGGCACUUGGACAGAUUAAACAAAGAAACAGACCAACACAUCUACCUCGUGCCUGACUGCCGUGCAGAAACAAACAGAGAUGAAUGCAGACUGCACAAGGAGUCUGAGUUGAAACCAAGGAACUCUAAUAUCCCUAGCUCAGAAUUCCAAACCAGUUCGAGAUCAAAGCUGUGGAAAGUCAACAAGAUCAUCUAUCUCCAAAACCAGAUUUGCGUUCUUAAACUCUACUCUGUCUGGUUUUUACUUUGCCAUACUUGUCAUGUUUAUUCGUUGUUUGUUUGUUUGCUUGUUUUUGUGUGAGUUUAUGCUUGAAACAUUGAGGACAAUGUUUGAUUUAAGUGUGGGGGGGUAACCAAGUUGUUUUGCAUGAAAUUCGUAGGAGUUUAUCACCCAUUACUUCUAGUGUUGUUCCUUGCUGCUUUUAAGUGUUUUUAAGCUGUUUUGGAGUGUUUUAGUGUGUUUUGACAUAAAAAUCCGAAAAUCUCAUAAAAAUUUGAAAAAAAAAAAUUGUUUUGAAAAACCCAAAAAGAGUUGUUUUUGUGUGUUUAUUUGUGUCUUAGGGUACCUUCCAACACAAUGAUGAGGAUUUGGUUUUUAAUUACAUGACUGUUAAAGAGAGUUAUAAACAUGGAUGAAAAUUUGAUUUACUCUUUGGUGUAUGCUUGGUUGUGGUUAUAAUUUAUGAAUUCACAUGCAAUCAUAAAGGAAAAAUCAGUUUUUGUAACAUGCUUGAAGGAAGGAACUCAAAUGAACACUACAACCUUGUGAGACUUGAGCCUAAACGUUUAUUUGGAGAGUUAAUAAUCUGUGCAUCAUUGUUUUCUAAAGUCGUUGCAUGAUCUCAUUAUUCUUUGCUUGGUUGCUACUUAGAAGGCGUUUCAUCAUUUAGUUCCAAAUGCUAGAACUCAUGCCUAUUUCAUUCAAAGCAUGCUAUUGAUUUGCAUAACACAUAUUCAAGAUGAAGUUGUGUAGUGACCACCAAAGCCAAAUUGCCGUGCCCCUAUUUCAUUAUGUGUUUAAGUUUAACCCCGUUGAGCCUUGUUAAGCCUAUGUUCUUUGUUAACCUACACUAUCCUUACCUAGCCUAGUUUUAGGACCAUCCAUACCCUUGUUCUUGAAGCAUAGUAAAGCAUGACCUAAAAUGAACUCCUUUUUUAUCAAUGUAUUGCAGAAAGCAAGUAUGGGGGGAAGUGAUUCUUGUGUGUGUGUGUGUGCCAAAGUCCUUAAUAAGGCACGGGUAGAGAAAAGAAAAAAAAAGUAUAAAAAAGAGCUAUAAAGUGUUAUAGGAUCCAAAACAUUGAAUUCGGCCCUAAGUGUUGCAUGAAUCUUCCCUUUAUAUGUAAAAGUUGAUUCUGCAUUCUAAAGUGAAUUCCAAGUCUAUUUCAUUGCUUUGCUUGCUAUCGCUUUAAGAACGUUUGUUAUUCCUAUCCUUUUUUUGUUAGCCAGUACCCCCAAGCCCUGUUUCAACCCUUGACUUCAAUCUUGAGUGUUGUGCGUUUCAAUUUAUGGAGUUCGAAAUUAAGGUAUGAGCAUAUGGUGUCACUAGUUCUCGCAUCUAAGUAGUAGUAUACCAUUCAUGAGAUCAUAUCUAAACAUGCUUAAUAACUCCAGAAAAUUGCUUCCUUUGUUAUAACAUAUGUGAGUCCCAGUCUCUAGUGUAGGGUAUGUAGUCAGAAAAUGUGUGUGAAAAUAGAAAGUAUCUUGUAAGGAAUUGAGCGAAUUCUCUAAGGCAUGUUACUACAUUCAAAACAUUGUUUUAAUUGGUUAAUUGUGAACUAGUAAGUAGUGACUGUGAUUGAGUUUUUGCUCAAGUGUGAAGAUAACCAACAUCUGUAGGAAUGAUGAUUUUUAACAUGUCAUGUGCAUUGGAAAUCCCUGAGGCAAAUGUUGGAAGGUUAGGUUGUGUUUUGUUUAUUUUGUUUCAUUUUGUUUCUUUUGUUUUGCUCAAGGACUAGCAAAAGCUAAGUGUGGGGGAAUUUGAUAGGAGCAUAUUUAUGCAACUUAGUUAGCUUGUUUCUUGGCAUUUACUUAGUUUAAUUCUAGUUAUUUUAGUACUUUAAGCUAUUUUCGUAUUUUUGUAGGUUCAAAUAACAAAGUUAGCAACAAAGUGCUAUUUGGAGCAUUUUGGAGCAUUUUUUGGCCAAGUUUGGAUAGUGCAAGCAUGGAAACAUGAGGAUGGAUGUUUUUGAAGAUUUGAAAGCUAGAAAUCAGCAUGUGUGUGUGCAAGUGUGUUGACCUACAACUACAAACAUCCAUCCACUACACCCAUUACAUCCACUCAUUACCACAACACUUACCCACUACACCCAUUACAUCCACUCAUUACCAAACACUCACCCACUACACCCAUUACAUCCACUCAUUACCAAACACUCACCCAUUACAUCCACUCAUUACCAAAUAUUCACCCACUACACCCAUUACAUCCACUCAUUACCACAACAUACACCACUACCACCUUAAUUAGAUGGUGGUCCUCUCCUUAGCCUAUAAAUACAUCCACCCUUCACCAUAACAAGGGGGGAGAUCUAUCCAAAGACACAUUCACACGGACAGUUUAAGGAGAAGGGAGAAAGACACAUUCUGCCGCAAGGCUGAGUCUUUUCUUCUCAACCAUUCUACACAUUUCCACAACAAAGACACAAUUCCAUGCACCUUCAUUUCUCUUUCUUUGCCGUGACCUCCAUCCAACCUAAACACAUUCAGCCAUUCCCUUCCAUGUAUCCAUACUCAUCCAUCAAACCACACCUUGUGCCGCAACAAAGAGAAGAAAGAGGACCCUUGGACAUGCUUGCCAUUCAAGUUGGAUUGUUGGAGCGUUUUUAGGUGUUUUCAUUCUUUUGUUUUCAAUGUCUAAAUUCGUUUAUCUUUACUUUGUGAGUAUGAGGAAAUAAACCCCCCUUAGCUAGGGGGAAUUCGAAACCAUGUUCAUGCUUGCAAUAUGAUUUGAUUACUUUCAGCUGUGAUUCAUAAGUUGUGAUUUCAAUUUACUUAUCCAUUUGAAUUAAAACUGAUUUGUGUACGUUGGUUGAGAGUGCACGCUUAAUUUUCAUGCAUAAAUCUGAUGCUAGGAUAUAAGGGAGUUUCACCUAAUCGUUAUAAACUUAUAUUCACAAGUAGUGAAGGUUGCUCGUCACAACUGUUUUAAGUAAAUUCUUGGCAUAAGUUUCAUGCAAUUCAUAGUUACAAGUGUUUCGUCAAUGCUUAUGAUUUCAUAGAACUUAAUGAUUCUUGCUUGUAUCUCUAUUAUGCAAUUCAUGUAGGGAACCUGUGGGGAAUGCUUUGGGUUGUUGUAUGCAAUCAUCCAAUUCAAUGAAAUUAGGAAAAUCUGAGGGUUAAUUAGUGCAAUUCACAGUUAAUCUGGGGCGUUGAGAAUUCGUAGUUUAUUGAAAAGCAACUGGAAAUCGUUUUGUUUGCAAGUGUCAUGUGUGGAGAAGAACCUCCUAACUAGCCUUCCAUCCAUUCAAUUUACUCAAAUUCGUACAGAUUUCAUUAGUUCUUUAAUUUACUUGUUUUGUUUUCAAAUUCAUCAAAACCAAAACCCCCUUUACCUUGUUGAGUCAUAUUAGUUAGAAACUGAUUUAGUUUGUGUUUUUAAGUAUUUCGAACCAAGUUGAAACCAAAAUUCGUCCAAAAGUGUGUUUAGAGUCCAAAUAUGCCCAGUUUGUGUUUUUAGGCAGAUUUGAGCGUUUUUAGCUUGUUUUGAGUUCUUUGAAUUUGUUUUAAAUUCUUUGAGUCUAGUUUAGUAUUUUUAACUUUGUUUAUAUGUUUUUAAGUCAGUUUAGAGGUUAUUAGCAAGCCCUCCUAAUCCCCGGUCCAUAACGAUCCCUACUUACAUUCUGUACUACAAUUGAUACAAGAGGGUUUAAUUUGUGUGUUAAGUGAAUUCACAUCAUGAAGCCCAACUUUUUUUAACUAAUUCUCCCACUUGGGAAAACACUCAUUAAUAUAUUCUUUCAGAGAUGUACCUAAAGAAAAUUGCUCUAUAUUUUAGACAUAAUAAAAUAGACAUCUCAUCAAACAUAAAGUUGUCAAACAGAAUUUCAGCAAUGAGUUACACUUACUUUAGAAUUUAUCAUAAUUAAUUUACAAGCUUGAUUGCUACCAAAGUUAUACUGAUCAAAAUAGACAUACAAAUCUUCAUAAAAUAAAAAUAUAGAGCCGUUUUGGGUCAAAAUAGUAGUCUAAAGUCACGUCUCAAAAAGACCAACACAAUCUGCCAGUAAAACUGCCUAUACGAGCAUGGGUUACUAGUAAAUUCACCAUAAUUAAAAUACAUGGCAAACAAUUAUGCAAAUUUGUAGACACAUAGUAGACAUAUAUAUGUUGGACCUAUCCAAAAUUCAGGUCAUUUGGUGAACAUUAGACGUGUCAUUUACCUGAUUUAAAUCAAGACACGUAAUCUGCCAGAAACAAUUAUGUGCAUCUAUCAUGAAUUUAUGCAUCCAUAACAAAUUCAAUUGCAUAUCAUUUCAAUUUCGAUGUCCAAAGGAAACUUUAGUAGUCAAAUUUCAUCCUCUAAACCGACAUCAUAGUUCAAAUUGAAAAGAUUUACAAGCAUAAGAUUUAAACAAUGAGUACCUUAGCAAUCCUUGAUUAACCUUCAUGGGUCCAAUACUUUGCAUCAACAAGUCUCAUGAAGAGACACAAAAUACGUCAUGAUGCAACCGAUUUCCAUGCCUUCAACCCACAACCUUUUAUGGGGCUCAUUGUGGAAAUAUUUGUCACUAAUGGCAUGGAACUUUAUCCCAAUAAACUUCAUGAAACUAAAUUAAUUUACACCUAUAGGCAAGAAAAUUAACUAGUUUCUAGUACUAGAUUUUAUAUCACAAAAGUACCUUCAUGAAAAACUUCAACACCUGUAGGCAAGAUGAAGAUUUUCACAACUUCGGUGAAAUAAAACCCGUACUAUGCCAUCUGAAUUAAACUAAAAGAAGUAAUCCACACCUGUAAGCAAGAAGAUUAUCCCUUUUAUUUUAAUUAAGAUGCAAAGUUGACCGAAGUAACUCAAAAACAUAGUCCCAUUGUCAACUAAACCGUUGCAUCUUGCUUAGUUGAAAAGGCAUUGGUCAACUCCGCCUUGAAACAAUACAAGAAGUCACAUGAAUUAAUUAACUGUAAGUGAUAAAAAAUAGGAUAACCUGAUUCGAGCUUCGAGUCUUGCCAACAAAUGGCACUAAUUCCUUCAUGACUCCCUUUGAUAUUAAAUUAAUCCCAAAAACUUGACAGCAUACUUGAAGGAAAUUAAUCACAUAUAGAACAAGUUUUCACCAUAAGAAUGUCAAUACUUAUCAUUACAGAGUCAAUUAGAAAUACUUUAUGUAAUGUGAGAGAACAAUACAUUCCUUUAAUUUAAAAGCUAAAUCACUCAAAUGUUUUCUUAAGUCAAACAGGUUCCUUUUCUUUUGUACCUUUCUUUCCGUAGUACAAGGCUCCUAAAACAUUAGCAUCAAAAUCGUGCAUUAGCCUUGUAAAUACCAAAUAAAUAAAAGGAACAACCAAAAUUAUUUUCUUCCAUAGAAAACAUUUCCAAUAUAUGCCCUACAUUAGCCUUGAAAAGUUUCUUUUCUUCUCCCCUUAUGGCAUAUAAAAAUUACUAAUCAAAGCACUGUUUAAAUUCUUUAGGCGUAGGAAAAACCACAAACAAUAAUACAUGUUUGAAAAUUCAUGCUUGUCAAUUAAGCCACAUAUUUUGAAUGGAUUACAUACCUCAUGCCUUCAUAUGUUCACCACUUCUUUGUAAACAUAUAUAUAAUCACAUGACCAACCAAAAUUCUCAUAUAAGAAUAAAAAUACAAAUGAGAACUGUCACAUAAUUUCUACAAACCUUAUUCAUUUGUAUAAUACCCUUGUUCUUGUCACUAGAUGCUUUCUGUCAUUCUCAGUCAAUCCACAAAUUAUACAUCAAUUUUUAUAGUUAACUAGUCAUGUAUAAUUUAAAUGACUAUUGAGAUAAGAAAGCAAAUUGUAGACAAACCUGAUUGAUUAGUCAUGCAUAUUUCUUGUGCUAUUAAUGGCAUAAAAGUUCAUUCUCAUCUUGUGAAAAUUAGUGGAAACAAAACUACAAUUCACUAUAGUCCAAAACCCACGACAAUAUUGAAAAUAUAUAAUCUCAUGCUCGAACCAAAUUAGCCAUACAAGCAACACUAUACACGCCAUUUGCUUAACAAAUGUUGCCAAAAUCUGUAUGACUUACUUUCAUGUAUAGAAAUUUUAUCAAAUUCAUUAACAGACAUGUAUAAAACUUAGCGUAUGUUUCCUUGCAACAUUAUUGUAAUAUAUGUUAUUACAAUCAUAGGCAUAACAUAUCCCAAUAGUAUUGAUAAAUUAUAGGAUAUGACUAAUUUUGUCUCCUACAAUUAGAAAGACGUCACGACAUGGUUGGAUUUUGCAGGAACAGUAUAACACUUCAUGAAUCCAACAUAACCAUUCCUUAUAUAAUUUAUCAUGAAGACCAAAAGGAAAGAUCAUACCAGAAUUUCAUAUACCGAUGUAAUACGAACCUUUUCAUUGGGCUUGUUCGACUGAGGAAUCUUAAGAAAUUCUCCAAUGCAAGGUUAGAACAAAUGUAAAUACAUAUACAUGCUAUGCGAACUGUAGUUACAUAAUUGGCUUUAGAAAAUUAUGUAUACUUGCGUGAUCCAACAAUUGCUGGCACUUAUGCAAUUGUUUCUUGUCACAUUAUAACGUAUCACCCGUAGUAAUUCCUAUAGAAUACAAUUCAUGGAAAAUAAUAUUAGUUCUUAUUCAAUAAGCAUAUGCCCAUUUAGAUGCUUAUUGCCAAAAUAUAUAAUAAUUGGAUCCAUAUUCAUGACAUACUUAACCGAUACAUGGUAAUCAAUGUAUGUACAUACUCUACAAUAAUUAGCACAUCACUCAUGCAAUUAUAUCUUUAUCUUAUUACCAAUUUAAGCUUUCAGGGAUCAACCCAAAUAUAUAUCAACCAAAAUACCAUAAACCAUUAUGGAAAUCAAGGUCAAUGAAACAAACCAUUUUGCUUUGGUAGAUGACUUCGUUCUGCUUGCUAAUCAGAGGGACCUCUUCAGUAUGGUCAGAACAAAUAUAGAAUGCUUACAAAAAUUGAGAUCAUGGUAAAUCAAUUCAACCAAAACACUAGCAUGAAGAUUGAAAUAGAACAAAACUGUUAUUCUUCUUAGUGCCAUGGUUUCCACUGUAAAAUACAUAAUAUAAUACCACGCCUUACAUAUAUGCUUCUUUACGUUCCUAUAUGAUUAUAGGAUUCCAAUUCCUAUAUGAUUUUUAAAUUUCAUGCUUCAAUACUAUAAGAAUAUUAUAUAAAUUCUAUGCUUCAAUUCCAUAAUUUAAUUCAUGCUUGAUCAAAAGCACCUCUAAGCGUAGUUCAAUUUCCAAUUGGCAAGCAAAGCUAUGUGGUUAUAUAUAAUACACCGCAUACAAUAUUAUGGAUUCGUGCUAUAAUCAGGCAACUUGUCUUGCUGAUAAUAAUCAAGGUAUCAAUUAGCAUAGUUCUUAAUAAAUUUCCCUUGACUGCAACCAUAAUAUUAGUGAAAAAUAUUCUUGAUUAAAACUGAAUAAUUAUGCAACCUGAUCAUAAUUAACAAUUGAACUUAUUCAAAUCACAUGGUAAACUUGCCGAGUAUAUGCAAUGAGAAUUUGGAUUAAAUACGCAGUUCAAGAGAAUAUUAUAUAAUCCAACAUUAAACCUAAUAGGUUUUAAUUAUAUAACCAGUGGCUCUAAUACCAACGGUUAGCCUUAUAAGGUUAUACAAUUAAAACACAAUCGAAUAAGUGACUGACCUGAUUGGUUAUACAAUUAAAACACAAUCGAAGGAGUGACUGACCUGAUUCCAACGGCGGCCAUGGAAGUCGAACACGAAAACAAGCAGGGCACGGCAACACCAAGAUCUUCUAUAAACUCCUAGCCGAAUACAACUACACUAUGGGAAGCAUUAUGUUGUGUGUUCUAGGGCUUAUAGGGACCGGUGUUUUUUAUAGGUUAAAAGCUAGGGUUUCCAUCCAUAAAAGAAACCUAAACUUACUUUAUUAGCCUCCAUGUCAAGUAUCAUAAUCAUAUUCAAUUAAGGAUUCCAUCAAUCAUAUUUCCAAUAUAAGAAACCUUAUAUAGGAUUGAUAUCUUUAAGAGAUCAAAUCACAAUUAACAUUAUUCUC